CGCUGUCACUCCUACGGGAGGCAGCAGUAGGGAAUCUUCCACAAUGGGCGCAAGCCUGAUGGAGCAACACCGCGUGAGUGAAGAAGGGUUUCGGCUCGUAAAGCUCUGUUGUUAAAGAAGAACACGUAUGAGAGUAACUGUUCAUACGUUGACGGUAUUUAACCAGAAAGUCACGGCUAACUACGUGCCAGCAGCCGCGGUAAUACGUAGGUGGCAAGCGUUAUCCGGAUUUAUUGGGCGUAAAGAGAGUGCAGGCGGUUUUCUAAGUCUGAUGUGAAAGCCUUCGGCUUAACCGGAGAAGUGCAUCGGAAACUGGAUAACUUGAGUGCAGAAGAGGGUAGUGGAACUCCAUGUGUAGCGGUGGAAUGCGUAGAUAUAUGGAAGAACACCAGUGGCGAAGGCGGCUACCUGGUCUGCAACUGACGCUGAGACUCGAAAGCAUGGGUAGCGAACAGGAUUAGAUACCCUGGUAG
rnacentral:rRNA from 1 species